AGGUAGAAAAGGAUAAUAUUUGAACGUUUUGCACCUGUCAAAAUGCGCGCAUUAUUUACUUCUGUAGCUCUUUCUGACGAGUGGCAGUCGUGACACUAGACAGCUUAAGCAAACCACUGAAACACAUAAUUAUAAUAUCAUUUAUUCACAAACCACUGAACCACAUAUACUUAUAAUAUCAUUUAUUCUCUCUUUUGCAACUGACAGAGUUGAAAUAAUUCAAGGCCGAAGCACCGUUUCAUGUUUCCUGUGCGAGUCAGUUUUCAGUGCACCAAGAGUUGAAAUAAUUCAAGGCCGAAGCACCGUUUCAUGUUUCCUGUGCGAGUCAGUUUUCAGUGCACCAAGUUAGAGACGCCAACGAGUGAUUGACUUUUCAAGUUAUUUCUCGACGAGGACAAGAUAAU
rnacentral:misc_RNA from 1 species